GGGAUAGCUCAGUUGGUAGAGCUUGAGGCUCUUAAUCUCAGGGUUGUGGGUUCGAGCCCCACAUUGGGUCA
rnacentral:tRNA from 1 species